rnacentral:rRNA from 1 species
CUGGCGGCAGGCCUAACACAUGCAAGUCGAACGGGAUCUUCGGAUCUAGUGGCGGACGGGUUAGUAACGCGUGGGAACGUACCCUUUUCUACGGAAUAGCCUCGGGAAACUGAGAGUAAUACCGUAUACGCCCUUCGGGGGAAAGAUUUAUCGGAGAAGGAUCGGCCCGCGUAAGAUUAGAUAGUUGGUGGGGUAAUGGCCUACCAAGUCUACGAUCUUUAGCUGGUUUGAGAGGAUGAUCAGCAACACUGGGACUGAGACACGGCCCAACUCCUACGGGAGGCAGCAGUGGGGAAUCUUAACAAUGGGGGAAACCCUGAUCUACCCAUGCCGCGUGAGUGACGAAGGCCUUAGGGUCGUAAAGCUCUUUCGCUGGGGAAGAUAAUGACUGUACCCAGUAAAGAAACCCCGGCUAACUCCGUGCCAGCAGCCGC